rnacentral:rRNA from 1 species
UGGGGGAUAUUGCACAAUGGGGGAAACCCUGAUGCAGCGACGCCGCGUGAGUGAAGAAGUAUUUCGGUAUGUAAAGCUCUAUCAGCAGGGAAGAAAAUGACGGUACCUGACUAAGAAGCCCCGGCUAACUACGUGCCAGCAGCCGCGGUAAUACGUAGGGGGCAAGCGUUAUCCGGAUUUACUGGGUGUAAAGGGAGCGUAGACGGCAAUACAAGUCGGAAGUGAAAUACCCGGGCUCAACCCGGGAACUGCUUUGGAAACUGUAUGGCUGGAGUGCUGGAGAGGUAAGCGGAAUUCCUAGUGUAGCGGUGAAAUGCGUAGAUAUUAGGAGGAACACCAGUGGCGAAGGCGGCUUACUGGACAGUAACUGACGUUGAGGCUCGAAAGCGUGGGGAGCAAACAGGAUUAGAUACCC